CCUACGGGUGGCAGCAGUGGGGAAUAUUGCACAAUGGGGGAAACCCUGAUGCAGCGACGCCGCGUGAGUGAAGAAGUAAUUCGUUAUGUAAAGCUCUAUCAGCAGGGAAGAAAAUGACGGUACCUGAGUAAGAAGCCCCGGCUAACUACGUGCCAGCAGCCGCGGUAAUACGUAGGGGGCAAGCGUUAUCCGGAUUUACUGGGUGUAAAGGGAGCGUAGACGGCAGUGCAAGUCUGGAGUGAAAGGCGGGGGCUCAACCCCCGGACUGCUUUUGAAACUGUACAGCUUGAUUGCAGGAGAGGGAAGUGGAAUUCCUGGUGUAGCGGUGAAAUGCGUAGAUAGUAGGAGGAACACCAGUGGCGAAGGCGGCUUGCUGGACUGUAAAUGACGCUGAGGCUCGAAAGCGUGGGGAGCAAACAGGAUUAGAUACCCGGGUAGUC
rnacentral:rRNA from 1 species